CACGGUAACGAGGCCACUUCGAGACGAAUUUAUUAAACCUAAUUAAUGCAUCAUUAACACACAGUAGCACUUAAGACUAAUUAUGGACUAACUAGUCUGAUUUCCAACCAUACUGUAUAAAUAAGUUUAUUUUUUUUAUCUAUAUUUAGUACUCCAUGCAUGUGUCCAAACAUUCCAUGUGACGGGUGAAAACUUUUUGGGUAGAAAACUAAAACAAAGCCUUAGGCGCUUGCGUUGAGGAGGUGUAAAGAUUUUGGGUACUCUUGCGUUUUUAUUUGGCAAUUAUUGUCCAACCAUGGACUAACUAGGCUUAAAAGACUUGUCUCGCAAAUUACAGGUAAACCGUAUAAUUAGUUAUUUUUAUCUAUAUUUAAUAUUUCAUGCAUGUGCCAUAAAAUUUGAUGUGAUGUGAAAUUUUGAAAAGUUUUUAGGUUUUGGGGUGAAUUGGUUUCAAUUUUUUUUUUGCAAAAUGGACAUUGUAGAAUUUUCUUUUGUAUUUGACAAAUAUUAUCCAAUUAUGGACUAACUAGACUCAAAAGAUUUGUCUCGCAAAUUACAGGUAAAUUAUAUAAUUAUUUAUUUAUUUUAUCUAUAUUUAAUACUUCAUAUAUGUGCUGCAAGAUUCGAUGUGACGAGAAAUCUGAAAAACUUUACAAAUGUUGUAAAACUAAACAAGACCCUUACAUAAGGAUGGCAACGGGUCGGGUUUGGAUCGGGUGGAGUCUCCGUGCACCCAAAACCGAAACUCGAAGUCGAAACCCGAAACCAAAACCGAAACCGAUUCGGAUGGAAAUUCAGUACCAAAACCAAACCUGCGGAUACCCGAAACCCGAACGAACGGAUACCCGAAACCAGAAUGGUUAUCCGAAACCCACGGAUAUAUAGAUAUAUUCACAUGUAUAAACAAAAUGCAACAAAUAAUAAAUAUUUUUAUGAGUUAACUUUGAAUAAAUUUAAUAAUCUAAGUAAAUAAAUUAUUAUUAUCAUAUUAUAAAAUAUAAAUUUUAAUUCCAAAUGAUUUAUUUCGGAUAUCCAUUAGAUAUCCACGGGUGGAAAACCAAAACCGAAACCAAUCCCGAUCGGUUUCGGGGCCUCGAACCCGAAAACCGUGGAUGAAAAACUACUACCAAAACUAAAACCGCUCGACCCGAAACCCACGGAUAUCCAAACCAAAACCGACUCGCUGCCAUCCUUACCCUUACAGCAUCCGCCUCUCACAUGACAUGCGGUGGCUGCGCGGUUCACGUCAGGCUCCGGCUAGUUCUCCCCAAAUUUGGCCCUUUUGAUUUUUUUUUUGUUUUGAGUACUGUAGUAUUUUUUUUAUUUAGCAAAUAUUGUCUAAUUAUAGACUAAUUAGACUUAAAAGAUCCAUCUUAUGAUUUAUAUGUAAACUAUAUAACUAUUUUUUUAUUUUUAUAUAUAUUUAAUGUUUUAUGUAUAUGUCGCAAGAUUUGAUAUGUCUGAGAAUUACGAGAAGUUUUGGUUUUUAAGGUGAAUGCCAUUUAUGAGCGCAAUCAGUAGGUCCCUGGCGACCGGCCGCUGACCACUGCCACUGGUCAAGGACUCAAGGGUAUCCCUGUCAUCCAUCUGGUCAGGCAGAGGCAACCCUGGCGGCUCUGUCUCUGCGGCCCUGUCUACGGACGGGCAUUGAAACCGGCCAGAUUCAUCCGUCACUCGCUCGCCCGGAUCUGCCGUCCGUCAGCUGGGCACAUCACGUACGACCGGCGCAAGCCGAGGUGUUGGGGAACGGACGGAUCGCGUCGCACCUGGCACCCGCCUCGCCGCGCCCCACGGCGCACGCGCGUUUAAGGCUUUAUUUAAGCCCGUGCCGGUCUCCUGCCGGCAGCCGGGGGCGCGCGUCGCUUGACCCGACCGCGCCGGGUUGGCAAUUGGCAUUUGCACCACCACUCGUGAGUC
rnacentral:lncRNA from 1 species